GUCAGAUGAAGCAGACAAGACCGA
rnacentral:siRNA from 1 species